rnacentral:pre_miRNA from 1 species
AUUAAAUUUAUUUUUCAGUUUUUACAUAUAAUAUUUUACUCUUUAUCUUAUUUGAAAUUUUUAUGUGAUUAAUAUUUUUAUUGCUAAUAGAUGAUAAAACAUGAAUAAUACUUUAUACGUGACUAAUUUUUGUCAGUUUUUUACAAAAUUUUUAAAUAAGAUAAAUAGUCAAACGUUGGACACAAAAAUCGA